AGUCUUCUGAAUCCGCGUUGAGAUUUCGUCAGCUACCAGAUCAUCAGGACUGAUGAGACUCCUUAGAUGAGUGAAGCG
rfam:Schistosoma haematobium scaffold974_6, whole genome shotgun sequence.